rnacentral:rRNA from 1 species
UACGAGGGGGGCAAGUGUUGUUCGGAAUUACUGGGCGUAAAGGGCUCGUAGGCGGCCAACUAAGUCGGAUGUGAAAACCCAGGGCUCAACCCUGGGCCUGCAUUCGAUACGGGCAGACUAGAGUUCGGUAGGGGAGACUGGAAUUCCUGGUGUAGCGGUGAAAUGCGCAGAUAUCAGGAGGAACACCGGUGGCGAAGGCGGGUCUCUGGGCCGAAACUGACGCUGAGGAGCGAAAGCGUGGGGAGCAAACAGG